UACGUAGGUGGCAAGCGUUAUCCGGAUUUAUUGGGCGUAAAGGGAACGCAGGCGGUCUUUUAAGUCUGAUGUGAAAGCCUUCGGCUUAACCGGAGUAGUGCAUUGGAAACUGGGAGACUUGAGUGCAGAAGAGGAGAGUGGAACUCCAUGUGUAGCGGUGAAAUGCGUAGAUAUUAGGAGGAACACCAGUGGCGAAGGCGGCCUACUGGACGGUGACUGACGCUGAGGCUCGAAAGCGUGGGGAGCAAACAGG
rnacentral:rRNA from 1 species